rnacentral:piRNA from 1 species
UGAAGCUGUCAUGAGAUGUUGUCACUUGU